rnacentral:lncRNA from 10 species
AGGCUAUUUGCUUUUGAGCUACUCCGGGAGAGGAGCAGAGUCGGUUUGAGUUGCAUGACUGACAUCUUCUGGCUACAGUGGAUAUUACAGAAAGACUGAAACUCCGCAAAAGGUGUGUUUGAAAAAAAGAAAAGCACCCUGGAAUUUGGAUCAUUAAGGUAACCUAUAUUGUUGUGUUGUUGCCGAGGUUUUUUUUGUUUGUUUUUUUUUUUUUUACUUUUCCUGCCUUGCAAUUUGAAAUUUUUCAUUUUUUAUUGCAGUUAUACUGAUUCUUCAACUAAAACUUUCUUGGGACUUGUAAUACGAAGUAUCGUAAACAAGGUCAUG